rnacentral:pre_miRNA from 1 species
GUUAUAUUCCUCCAUCCAACAAAAGAUGUUUUAAAUUUGUCAAAAUUUGGAUCUAUCUAGACAUGACUUAGUGUAUAAAUGCAUUCAAAUUUGCUCAAAGUUGAGACAUCAUUUGUUGGACGGAGGGAGUAUGAG